UUAUGCUUAACACAUUGAGUCAUAACUAUAUUUUAUUUGUACAUAUCAAACAUAGCAAAUUUACAAAACAGUGUCACAGUGUAACCAAGGCACGACAUGUGGAACAUUUGAAAUACUUGGAUAAAUCAGAUUGUUUUUGAAUAUUCUCACAAGCCCAGUGACACCACUUCAAGCAACUGUCACAGAGCACAUUUGGUGUGGUUUUAUUACUAAUCUUUUUACAGUCACCACAUUUGUAUCGCGAAUGUUUUUUCUUAAAAUCAACUGCUUCCUCUGUAAAUAAUUUCUGAAAUUUUGGAAGUUCCACUGCUAAAUCUUCUUCUGUUACUGUGCUGCUAACCAUUUCAGGCACAGGGCUGAUAUCAUGUCCCUCCACUAACUUCUUAGUAAGAAGAAUUUUAGCAGCUGCCUCACUUCCAAUAACCCAUGUGAAAAAAUUAUCUUUAUUUCGCAAUACUUUGUAUGCAGUGUAGGAUGUCUUUGGCAAAUGGAGUUCUCUUCAAAAAGUUA